UACGAAGGUGGCAAGCGUUGUUCGGAUUUACUGGGCGUACAGGGAGCGUAGGCGGUUGGAUAAGCCCUCCGUGAAAUCUCCAGGCUUAACCUGGAAAGUGCAGAGGGGACUGUUCAGCUAGAGGAUGGGAGAGGAGCGCGGAAUUCCCGGUGUAGCGGUGAAAUGCGUAGAGAUCGGGAGGAACACCGGUGGCGAAGGCGGCUAUCUGGCCCACUCUUGACGCUGAGGCGCGGAAAGCUAGGGGAGCAAACGGG
rnacentral:rRNA from 1 species